rnacentral:rRNA from 1 species
GACAGAGGCCCCAAGCGUUAGGCGGAAUCACUGGGCUUAAAGCGUGUGUAGGCGGACGCCUAAGUGUCUUGUGAAAUCCCACGGCUCACCCGUGGAACUGCUGGGCAUACUGGGCGUCUUGGGCCAACUAGGGGCAGCCGGAACAAGCGGUGGAGCGGUGAAAUGCGUAGAUAUCGGGAGGAACACCAGUGGCGAAGGCGGCUUCCUGGCCUGUUCUUGACGCUGAGGCGCGAAAGCUAGGGGAGCAAACGGG